rnacentral:tRNA from 1 species
AGAUAGGUGGCGUAAUAGUAGCGUAAAAGUCUGUUAAACUUUUGGUGCUGGUGCGAUUCCAGCCCUAUCUG